UUGUGAAAGCCGGAGGUUUAGGAGCAAAGUACAAUUAUUUUCGCAAAUAAUUGUAUCUUUUGCUCUUAAACCUUUAGCUUUAACAAAUUUGUGUCAACCCUUUGUGUAUAUAAUUUUUAUUUCUUUUACAAUAACAAUAUAUAAAUUUUCAUAGUCUCUUUAUGCAUCAGAAAAGCACAUGUCCUCUUUGAAAAAAAUACUUUGUUGCAUAUUCUUAGGUACAUAAGCCUAUAAAAUCCAACAUCACUUGGAAUUAGCUCCUUUUGAAAGCUAUUUGUAUGGGAAUUCGAGAUUAUCCUAUAAGUAACAUUUAAAUCAUGGAUUUUACCAGGAGGCCUAAAAAACACAAAAUGCUAUAGGCUUGUGAUCCGUAAGUACUAUUGGACUCACAUUUUAAGUAGGUUUACACGUAGUAUGUAGAUUGAACUCAUAGAACAAAAUUUGAGUCUUAAAAUUCAAUACAAAAUGCACAGAUGGGAUUUACGUCCGUAGAUCAAACCACGAAUGAUCCGUGAAGGGUUUUUUUCCAGUUUUUAAGACUAGUUAAGGGUUUGAACAGUGUUAAUGAAUCCUUUACGUUCUUUAAUGCUUCCAAGUCUUAAAGCAAGGAUCCAAGAGGAGAAAGCUAAGAUUUUGAGCGUUCUUUGAAUUUUCACCGAUUUCACCAAGAACUUUGUUCUUCAGUGUAUGUAAGGCUAUCAUAAUGGUGGACUAAGUUUGUCCUCACGCCCUACAUCUAUCUAAAUUCAGU
rnacentral:misc_RNA from 1 species